CCUACGGGAGGCAGCAGUGGGGAAUAUUGCACAAUGGGGGAAACCCUGAUCCAGCCAUACCGCGUGUGUGAAGAAGGCCUUCGGGUUGUAAAGCACUUUCAGUUGUGAGGAAGGGAUUCUCGUUAAUAGCGGUAG
rnacentral:rRNA from 1 species